rnacentral:rRNA from 1 species
UAAGGAAUAUUGCUCAAUGGCCGAAAGGCUGAAGCAGCAACGCCGCGUGAAGGAUGAAGGGAUUUUUCUUGUAAACUUCUGUAAGAGGGGAAAAAUAUCCCGGUUUACCGGGAUUGAUUGUACCUUCAGAGUAAGCCCCGGCUAACUACGUGCCAGCAGCCGCGGUAAUACGUAGGGGGCAAGCGUUGUCCGGAUUUACUGGGUGUAAAGGGUGCUCAGGCGGGUUUGUAAGUCAGAGGUGAAACUCCGAAGCUUAACUUCGGAAC